rnacentral:lncRNA from 1 species
ACGUGACCUGCCUGACUCCCGCCUCUUCUAUGGUUUAGCCUGGUGUCCAGCGUAUUGGACAAGUAUCUGGUGACACCCUGAGUUGUCCUCUCGCAGAUAUCUUCCUGUAUUUGGGUAACAAGUUCCUCAUCUUUGCCGUCUGUGGGCAGGGCAGCUUCUGUCUUCCUCCCAGGGUUGUUCCGCACAGAGUGGGUGGCAUAGCUGGGCCCGUUCCCGUGCACACGCCUUGGGGAAUAUCGAGUAGAAAUCACAACACAACGCUCUGUUGCAGGCAGAGGAGCUAUAUUUGUACUGAGGAGAUGUGCUAACCUCCGCGCUGGAGGGAUGAGGCAGUGGAUGUCAAGGACUCAGCCAACACUUCUUCUAACAGCAGUGAGCCGCAGUGUUUUCUUAUUCCUGUUUGCACUGAACAGCCCGGCCUCCUGCAUUUUCCUACCAGGGAUUAUUGCCAGGCAGAGGAGAUCAUCAAAAGACAUGGCCAGUUUCCACCACAGAGCCAGGGCAAGCCAGAGACACCAGAAAGGAGGUGAAGCACAGGCCUGAACUAGGUCUGAUGGAAUGCUUACCUCAGAAGUAACCACCCAGGGUUCCUUUAUCCAACUGGUGCAGCUGGCUGAUUCAGUCUUCUCCCUCAAGAAACCGACCUACUGAAGAUAGCAGGGAAGCAUUGCAAGGAAA